rnacentral:rRNA from 1 species
GAUGAACGCUGGCGGCGUGCCUAAUACAUGCAAGUCGAGCGAACAGACGAGGAGCUUGCUCCUCUGACGUUAGCGGCGGACGGGUGAGUAACACGUGGAUAACCUACCUAUAAGACUGGGAUAACUUCGGGAAACCGGAGCUAAUACCGGAUAACAUGUUGAACCGCAUGGUUCAACAGUGAAAGACGGUUUUGCUGUCACUUAUAGAUGGAUCCGCGCCGCAUUAGCUAGUUGGUAAGGUAACGGCUUACCAAGGCAACGAUGCGUAACCGACCUGAGAAGAGGAGCAGCCACACGGGAACUGAGACACGGUCCAGACGCCUACGGGAGGCAGCAAUGGGGAAUAUAGGACAAUGGGCGCAAGCCUGAUCCAGCCAUACCGCGUAGGUUAAGAAUGACAUCGGAAUGAAAAGCCCUAUGGGUGGGAAAGAAAAGCAGCAGGGUAAUACCCCGCUGUUCAGACGUUACCCAAAGAAGAAGCACCGGCUAAGGUCGUG